GAAAUAAAGCAAACACCAGCUACAGAGCAACUUCUGCCUCAAGAAACCCCUCCUUUCAGAUGUUUGCAAUUGUGAUAGCAGGACAGGGAAUAUUCUUCAAGCAUGUAGCAGUGAAUAGUUGGGCUUCAGCCUGUAUUUUUCUCACUUCCCAGGAUCUCAGUGAAGAAAAUCAAGUCUCCAAUAAUCCAGAUGGCCACUGAAUGUCCAGUAUGAGUCCAACCCAGUGAGCCUUUCGGACCUGUGUCCCUCAGACUGCUGUGGGCACCUCAGAUUCUGUUCCCAUUAUUCCUCUCUAUAUGAGCCUUUUUAUUCAAACAUAAAAGGUUCCCCCCCCGCCCCGAUACUGCUUUAUUAGGAGUAGGGUGUAGUAUUUUUAAACCACAGAGGUUUGUAGCAACUUGGAUGUUCAGGCAACAACUCAGAAGGGCAGCUUGUAGAGAAGAACCUCACUGUGCACAGUAACUGCCAGGAAAAUUCUAGAGAAAAUGAGGAGACUACCCGCCAGAUAGCAAACUAUAUUGCAAAGCUACAGAAAUUAAUAUAUUCUCAAACAGAGAAAAAUAAAGAAUCCAGAACCAGAACUAAAUAGCA
rnacentral:lncRNA from 12 species